AGGAAAAAUAUCUGGAUUUUUUUUCAGUUUUGAAAACAAUUGAUAAACUAGGUUUUCGAUAUCUUCUUCUUCUUUAUUUAGUUAUUAAUUUUAUUAAACAACAAAUUUGGACGAGAAAUCUCUGUGUUUCUGCAUCUGAGUUAAGCCACAAAAUUGGCGAGAUCUGAUUUUGAUUCAACAAAUUGCUAAUGUUGAUUCCUAAUAGAAGAUUCAUAGAUAGUAUCUGCAAUUGGCAUGUUCGAUUCAUUUUUUUAUUUAAUCUUCAAAAUGAUUUUUAGUUUGAUUUUUGUUUGCAGAGAUAGUGAGUUUGUGUUCAACAUAAUAUUUGGUCGUAUAGAUCGUGAAUUUGUGUUGAUUUUACUAGAUUGAUUGGUUGAUUUACAUAUUAUUUGGACUCGAGAUCGUGAUCCAUCUCUUAAACAGGCCAAAGAUGGUUGUUGUAGAGUUUGAAUUUUGCAACCUAAGAGUCUCGCAUCCUAUUUCGGAAUCAACUACACUCAGCGAGAUGAUAAUUGUGGUCAAAUAAAUUUGGCCUUAUCUUCCUGAAGACCUCGUACUGUUUGGUUACACUGUAGAUGGAAGGACUAAUGUCAUUAAUCACGAUUUGGAUUUAAGGUUUUUGAUUCACUACUACAGCACAAUAGGUCUUGACAUGUUGAAGUUUCAAAUCCAAUUAAGGGUUUGUGUUGAGUCUACUUCUUCUUCUUCUUCUUCUUCUUCUACUGCUUCUUCGUCAUCAUCAAGUUGUAUUUCAAGCAACGAGGUAGUUGUUGUAGAAUACUUGACCGAUGAUUCAUCUUUAUUCGUAAGAGUUCCAAAGAAGUCCGAUGCUUUGGCCAACAUAUUAAGUGGAGUAGGGAAUUUGUUUGAAGGAGGUGUUACAGAAGUUCGUAAUGCUGUUACAAAGUAUAAAAUCCAUAAUGGUUACAAAUAUUGUGUUGGAAUUAACACCAAUGUCCCUAUUAUUUUGAGUUAACACCAACGACUAUGCUUAAGACUUGUGUUGUGUUGUGUAUGGGUUUGAUGUAAUGUUAUUAGUUUUAUAAUAAAGAGAGAUGUUAAAAUAA